GGUGAGCAGAGGUUUCUUUAUUGCUGAACUGAACCUUGAAAUAACUAUGUGUUUUUUUUAUUCACAGGUGCAAUGGAACAUUGCUUUAGGGUCAAUAUUUACAUUUUUCCAUCUUUAUACUGGUGCACUCAUCUGUGUCUUGGCUAUGGGCUGUCUAGUCUUGAAAUACAAGUUUCUAAUUUGUAUCAGCAUGAAAAUUUCGACAUAAAUAUGUUGUCACAAUAUAGAUGGUUUAAUUGGGGCAUGCUAUGUCACUAUAACUGCUCUAUUGAGCUGCCUCUUGGGGAACUGAUUUAGCUUUCUGAUAGUGAAUGGUAAUAUGGUAAUAACCACUGCUCAAUCAGGACAGUAAUUAGCAUCAAUUCUGUUUAAUUGAACUAAAUUUAACUGGAGUGAAGGAGUAAAGUACUGAUUAACCUCCAAACUAUUGAUCAGUGCUCACUAAUUCUCCAAAGACACGAAUGAUUAUAUCAAUAAAGGACAUAAAUGUUUAACUUUACAAAUCAAACAGGAUAUGGAAAUAUAGUACAGCAUAAAUAGUAUUCCUACAUGGACAAAAGCAGUCUGAAUAAAUUAGCUCUGUAGUCACGAUUCCUUUUUGAAUUUAAAUUGUUCAACAAAAAUUUACAUAGUUGAUGUAAAUGACUAACUGCAGUGGUUUUUUUCAGUACCUGUACAUAAAGCAUCUCUCAAUUCCACAACAACUUUGAGAGAGUGAUAAAUUGCAAAGCCCUGGACUAUGGCUUCAUGUGAGACAAAAGGGUGGAUGACCUGAGAAAACCUGCACAAAGGAUUCUAGCUCAGAGGAAUACAACCAAUGGCAUCAAAUACAUGGCUUUUGUCCAAUUAAAAAAUUAUCAGAAUUCUAA